CCUGCCUGCCUGUCUGCCUGUCUGCCUGCUUGCUCUCUGGCUUGCACUGGAUGACCUCUUGUAUAUGCCUGUUGGGAAAACAGACACUCCUGCAAGCUAGACUUCUAUUGCCAAACCUGCAAGGCCCCUUGUGUGUGUCUGAGAGAAAGACAGUGUCAGUGUGUGUGAGGGUGUUUGACUGUGUGUGUGUGUGUGUGUGUGUGCAUGCGUGUAAAGGGAGGGUGUCCAAAGGCUGCUUGGCUUGGCCGGCAGGUAACAAUCCUUUCCCCUUGUUCCAAAGCCUCUGUUGGGAAGAGAUAAGAGGAACGAUGUGGACUGAUAAGUCAUCACAACUAUUUAUAGUGUCAUUUCAAAUCCUCUUGAAUUCUCUCUCUGUCAUGGGGUCUUUUUAUCUCCUCUGCUUUCUGCUCUUUGUGUUGUAAACCUUGCUGCUUCCCCCUCUUGCUAACCGCUGUCCUUGUCCUCCUAUCCUCCCUCCCCAACUUGUGUUUUCAGGCCACCAUACUAGGGCUAAAGGUAGAAAAAGGAAACCUAAAAAGCUAAAGCUCAACAAGGAUUUAUUGGCGACAUAAUAAACUUGAACACAUUAUUCCAAAGUCCGGCCGCCGGACCCCCCGGCUCCAACAGUGGACAUAAGGUGAGACCCCAGCAGCAUUAGACUUCAGUGUGGAAGGGGCCAAAGAGAGGAUGCUGCCAUAUUUGGACUGCUGACCUACCCCUUCCCUGAUCCCACCCCACACCACCUACCGCCUUUUAAAAACAAAGAUUACUGUAAAGAGAAAAAAAGUUAAUAAAAUGCCAAAGGUGCUUUUUUCUAUUACCGUAAAAAGUAAUGCAGAAGGUCUCUGCCAAGCGCAGCAGAACCAACCAAUCAAACAAUGAUGCGGAUGAGGAUGGUGAAGCCGAUAAAGAGCUGGGCAGAAAAGAGAGGAGGAGGAGGACAAGAUGGAUUGUCGUUUGUUGGGUAAACAGGACAAUUUGACGAUCACAGAGAGAGAUCCAGGAUGGAUCAUUGGAUUAAGCCUCGAUGGGGGAUCUGUUGACUGGAUCCUAAAAGGACACAGAGAGGGACAAUCAAUGGACUCUUCGGGAUGUGUGGAGGCUUGCAUGUUCCUAGCCGUUGGUCUAAGUGACACUUGCCUGGACAGUCAAUGACUGACAGAGAGAGAGGGAGAGAGGGAACGAGAUGUUGAGAGAAGUUGUAGAGAGGUGUAGAAGGUACUGGUCGUGUUGCUUGUUGUUCCGAAACUCUCUGUACACUGUAGUGGAACUUGUGAACAUUCUGGAACUCAUAAAAUGGUUGCCCAUUUUGUCUCUUUUGGAUAAAGUGUUGGGAAAAGUGUUUGGAAUCAUCAGGACCUGUUGUUCCAAGAUGGCUUCUCUGCUUCUCUCUCUUGGGUUUCCCUAUCUGCUCCUAUUGGGAUUGUGCCAGUCGCCAUAUACACUACAGAACGAUUCAGAAAGGAAGAUUAAUUCAUUGCUACUAAUAAACUAUUUAUACGUGUGAACGUUUUCAUUUCUCUCUCUCUCCCUCCAAGACAUUGUUAUGUUUUCUGUGACAUGUAAGAGUCGGGUUCUGUCUGAUCCUCUGGUAGUGAAUCUUCAUGUCCACAUGUUGUUUGUAGUUGUUCAUGUAGUUGUUACUCAUGUUCAAUGUUGCCUUAUUAUGUGCCAGUAUAUUAUCUGAACAGUCUCAAGUCUAGUUGUAUGGGCUGGAAAUGGAAGGAAGCGUGGCGAGGAGGAGAUGGGAGGACAGAGUCUGUACAAGUACAGGAAGAUGCUUUAUUUUUGUUAAAAAAAUAUAUUAUGCUUACUUAUAUUCAAGCAGGAAGUAUGUUUGUUAUUUCUUUGUUUGUUGUGGUUGAAUGCUUUUAUGUAAUCCAUGGAAACGAUGUAGGAAUGGGGGUGAGGACAUGUAUAAGGCCCCAGCAAUGCACCCUGUUUGGUGCUGUAGGGUAGGCUUACAUCAGCAGUGCUGUACUCUAUUAUCUAGAGAGCUGGAUAGCGCUAACCUGGUCCCAGAUCAGUUUGUGUUGUCCUGCAAACACAUAUAGUCAUUGGCAAGACAGCACAAACCGAUCUGAGAUCAGUCUGGCUGAGGAAGACUCAAUCUGGGGCAUCGUUGGACUGUGUCUCUUUAACUCUGUUAUCUAGCCAAAAGUUACACCCAGUAACCAGAGCGUCAUUAUACACAACAGAACACACACGUUCAGCAUGUGUGUGUGUGCACAUAAAUGUGUGUGUGAAACCACUUUUAACCCACAUCACACUCCUUUGAUAAGAUGGUGCCCAGUCCGCCCCACCAGCACACAAGUUGUUCUGAACGAGUACAAAGUCCAUCUUGAAUGAGAGAGUUGGUGAACAAACCAACAUGAAUGGUUUCCUAGUUAAUCAAGCAGCAGUCUUCCAUUGACACGUUAACAACGGAGAAGACUGUUCCACUGUUGAUGAGUGAAAGAUAGAAAAAGAAGAUACCACUGUUUAUGGAGAGACUGACACCAAAUCUCUAACAACACCCUAUUUCCCGAAAAGUGCAGUGCACUACUUUAGACCAGAGCCACUGGCCAAAAGUAGUGCGCUACAUAGGGAAUAGGUUGUCGUUUGGCACACACUGAAUCAAUAGAAAUACCUGGGCACUUUCCCAAAAUGUCUCAGAGUAGGAGUGCUGUUCAUCUUAUUCCUUCUGAUCUAAACAGCUAAACUGAUCCAAGAUCAGCACUUGAUGAAGUCCUGGGUGAGAGGCAUGUUGAGAGAAAAUAGAUGACUGAAGAAGCAACAACAGUGUAUCUGCAGCUGCUCGGUGUUGCGGUAACAACAUGUUCAUCUGCACUAUACAGACUUCCAAGGUGAUUCCAUUGGUGCUAUAUGUAUAAAGGGAAUCAGAGGAAGUUUCUCCACCAUUUUGCAGUGCAUUUCUUCAUUCAUUGUCAAUAGACCAGGGACCACUGCUUACAGUAACUAAAGGAACCACAACAACACAAGCUUUUACCAUGUUUUAUUUGGGCCUCUAUUGGAUAAAAACAGCAAUGAUUAUAAUUUAUAUAUUUAUGUUUUCAAUAAUAAAUGCAUUCUGCUUAUCAAACUGUA